AUUGAACGCUGGCGGCAGGCUUAACACAUGCAAGUCGAGCGGGCGAGGUUGCUUCGGUAACUGAGCUAGCGGCGGACGGGUGAGUAAUGCUUAGGAAUCUGCCUAUUAGUGGGGGACAACAUUCCGAAAGGAAUGCUAAUACCGCAUACGCCCUACGGGGGAAAGCAGGGGAUCUUCGGACCUUGCGCUAAUAGAUGAGCCUAAGUCAGAUUAGCUAGUUGGUGGGGUAAAGGCCUACCAAGGCGACGAUCUGUAGCGGGUCUGAGAGGAUGGUCCGCCACACUGGGACUGAGACACGGCCCAGACUCCUACGGGAGGAAGCAGUGGGGAAUAUUGGACAAUGGGCGCAAGCGUGAUCCAGCCAUGCCGCGUGUGUGAAGAAGGCCUUUUGGUUGUAAAGCACUUUAAGCGAGGAGGAGGCUACUUGGAUUAAUACUCUAGGAUAGUGGACGUUACUCGCAGAAUAAGCACCGGCUAACUCUGUGCCAGCAGCCGCGGUAA
rnacentral:rRNA from 1 species